UAUUUAUAAUAUAAGAUUACAUCGAUCGAGCGAAUUUCAAUUUUCGUUUUUUAAGAAAUCUGGAGUCUAACAGGAAGGGUAACAAAAAACUUUUGCGAACCAUAAUCUACAAUUUUAACUUGGGAAAACGAAAUAUAAAAAAGUUUUUUUUUAUACUUGCUAAAACGAAUGCUACUAUAAACGAAUAAACUAUAAACGAAUGCUACUAUAAACGAAUAAACUAUAAACGAAUGCUACUAUAAACGAAUAAACUAUAAACGAAUGCUACUAUAAACGAAUAAACUAUAAACGAAUGCUACUAUAAACGAAUAAACUAUAAACGAAUGCUACUAUAAACGAAUAAACUAUAAACGAAUGCUACUAUAAACGAAUAAACUAUAAACGAAUGCUACUAUAAACGAAUAAACUAUAAACGAAUGCUACUAUAAACGAAUAAACUAUAAACGAAUGCUACUAUAAACGAAUAAACUAUAAACGAAUGCUACUAUAAACGAAUAAACUAUAAACGAAUGCUACUAUAAACGAAUAAACUAUAAACGAAUGCUACUAUAAAAUUAAUCAUGGAAAAUAUUAUAGUUUCGAAGAUAAAAGUUAGUUGAAAGAUAAUUAAAGUGUUGAAAGAUCUUAACUUAAUUAAAGAGAAGAGAAUUGAAAUCAUAUGUGAAAAAUAAGAUUUUCAUUUGGAUGCGAUGGCUCGGUCAUUAAAUAUUUUCAUUUAGAAUCAUUGAGCUUUCCCACUAGGAAAAAAUAGUUUAAUUAUUUACAAAGAAAAAAUGCAGAUAAUUAAUGAGCAAAGAAGAAAUUUAGAUAAUUGAAAAGCCCUGUAGAAGGAUGAACCCAUGUAGAGGAAUGAAGCCAUGUAGAAGCCGCGAUCAACGAAACAUUUUUAGCUCCUCCUAGCCUAACUGCAUCAAUAUCGCUUUCUAAGCGAACAGCUAUAAGCAAAGCCUUAUUGCAUCGUAGAUGGUUGCCCUCGCUAAAGUUUCUAAAUUCACUAUUUCUAAAGUUAGGACAAUUACUUAAGAAUUUCAUGCAACAUUUGUCUUGACAACACCUUAAAUAGUUUCAAUGUUAGGGGAUUAAUGAACCAUUGCCGCCAAGAAAAUUUCAUCGCCGCCAAGAAAAACUAUUGCCGCCAAGAAAAUUCGCAAACAAAUACGAUUAGCAUCUGCAGAAAAGUAAACACACACUUAUAUCGGUGUUAAAAGAAAGUUAAACUUUGAUGCUAAGAAAAACACAAAAAUAAAGCAGAAAAAAAAGUUUCCUAUUUUAGUUUAAAUUGUAUAAAAU